UAUCCCUCGGGUAAAUUCCUAGCAGUGCUAUUGCUGGGUCAUAGGGUAGAUACUAUUUUUAAUUUUUUGAGGAACCUCCCCACUGUUUUCCAGAGCUAGACUGGCUUUUAGAGAUUAGGAAACUAUUUCUAGAAUUUCUAUUGCUACCACAGAAGCUGGCAAGGGAACAAUCCAAAGGAAGCCUGAGGGAAUAAGCUGUUAAAAACGUGAUCUAAGUCACACAUCCUCUCUUGGUACAUAGUCCCCAUCAAGUUUAUCCUUUCCCGGGGUUAUAAUGGCACAACCUAUGGGAAGAGAAAUAGUUACAAGGACAGGUGAGAGGAACACAGAGCUAGAAAGUCCUCUGCACUCAUCAGGAUAUCCCAUGUCUUUUAACACAAAGGAUACCACAUGCCUCCCUGUGCAUCACAGAUACCACUCAAACACCCACGUCCCACAAAUCCCAUGUAUCCCGGAAGCAGUGUUGGCAUGCUUAAUGGGGACUCGUGCGAAAGUUUCGCCUGGGCUGGGGAGCCUCAGGGACAACCACCGAUAAAAAUAAGCUGACGGUGCUCGGCUGCCCCUCAGUCAUGCCACCUGUGUCUCACCCAGUGCGGUGGAGCAGGACUUGAUGAAACGUGUCUGGGUCAUGCAGCUGCUUGCACUUGAGCUACCUUCCCUGUGUUGCAAGCCAUGCAGAUUGACCCCGAGAGGAUGCUGGUGGCUGCUGAAUACGUUUGCCGUAUUUUUCGGUCCGAGUUAACGUCAGCUGGUCAGAAACGACCUCCCGCUUGCCUCCAGAGCUGCUGGAGCAUGGCAGUGACACUUUGCUAACGCUAUAGAAUGUAUUAACGAAAGAUAAGUGAUGUUCUAUCACCACGGGUUCAUGAGUUGUUUGGGGGAGGGUUGUAUCAAUCUGCCAGCAAAGCUUAGUGGUGAUAAUGAUAUGCAUCUGGUUUGGGUGGAGCCUGUGGGGUUUUGACCAUUGAAGGCUGGCCGCGUAGCUUCAAUAUGCCUGGAGGACCAGCUCCCUACAAGAGACUCCCACCACAGGGAGACUUUGGGUUCCUACUGCUCAGGGUCUUUGCAUGUACACCACUGAGGAUGUGGGACCUGUGUGACUCAGCAAUGGGAGGACAAAGAAGACUGUUCCCGAGAGUGCCAGACCCCUUCUGAUAUGUCUCUCUCCUGAAUUACACCCAUUGCCUGUGACAAGGCUGAGCGUAGCACGUUUGAAUCCCGUGAGCCCUGUCAGCAGCAGAGCAUUUAAGGGAGGGCAGCGGGAGCACCACAGAGGAGCUUUCCCAGGAGGAAGGCAGCUGGGAACAGAGACGAGCACCAGGACGGAGCCCUGUGGACGAGACAGAGGGAUGUACUCAGAGAUGUGGAGAGGGAGCCACAGGGUUUGCUGGGUAAGCAUACAUAACUUUUAAAAAAUCCUAAUGUAUUGAGGUGAAAUUCACAUAACUUAAUCAUGUUUAAAGUGAACAAGUCAGUACAUUGGUACAUUCACAAUGUGAACUCUCUAGUUCCAAACCACGUUCGUCAUCCCCAACAGACACCCCACAAUCAAGCAGCCGUUCCUCGUUACCCCUCCCCGACCCUUGGCACCCACGAAUUGCCUUUUGUCUCUAUGGAUUUGCCUGUUCCGGAAACUUCAUAUAGAUGAAAUCAAAAUAAACGGUCUUUCGCA